AUGGACAUGGAUCUUUCCACGCCCUCACUCACUAAAUUCUUCCGGAUGGUCUUGACCAACAUCAACAAUUGGGAAAACCCGCCCAUGUGCAAGAUCUUCGUGUGGCUCAUCAUACCAAUUAGGUGUCCCUUAUGCACAUGUGCCGCCCCCGUGUUGGCAGCCCACAUCCUCUUCCAAUGUUGCUACUCCGUCAUCUCCAGUACGGACCCUCAAACUGCCCGCAACCCUGGUCAGCGCGGUCCAGACGUGUUUGACCAUCCAAAGCGGACCAACUUCGGCUCCUCAUCCGACACCGCGCAGAACCUCUUCGGCCAUCAUCCAGGCAUUGUCGGACGUCCGCAGCCGCCAUCCACGCGUCCGCUCUCCUUGUACUACGGCGCCGUCCACCCAGUAUUCGUCCGCAGCCAGAUACCCUCCGCCCCCCUAUCGACAACGUCCAUGGCGGACACCACGCCCGAAAGAAGGAUGGCAGGGUAUUCGACCAUGGAGGAUGAGUUGUUGUGCGAUGCGUGGUUGGCCAUAUCUGCAGACUUCAUAGGCAGGAGAAGAAGGGGACUCUUUUGGCAGCGCGUGCAUGGUUCAUUUCAUGCGCGAAAAUACUUUGCGCCCUACGACAUGCACAUCAUCCAUGAACGCAAUGUGAAGCCAUUAGCGUAUCGAUGGUACACCAUCAAAAACUCUGUGAAGUUUUGUGGCGAGGUUGAUCGGAUGGAGGCAAUAAUGUCGCCAUUGCAUGCGGCAACCAUGGAGAUUGUAAUUUUUUGCUUCUUCUUGCUCAACUUCUCGAGUGAUUCAUUCAUUCACUCAAUGUUGCUCUACGCCUUGUGUACCCUACGAUUCGUUUUAUCGCCUUGGAAUCUAGCUGGGCGCGUAGACGACGAGGGCGCCCCGACACAGAGCAUCUCCCGCCAAUUACUCGUCUCUCCUCCUCCGACGCAAUCAGGCGAGACAAACGAGCCGGACGACGAUGAUGAUCCAUCCAGCCGCAGAAGGAAGGCCCACAGCCAGAGCGCCGGCACGGCACGGGGCGCGCGGAGGACACGCACGGCUCCAUCCACGUGCUGUCCGCACGCACCUAACCAUCCCCACGUCGCCCCGUCCAAGCCCAGCGACGACCCAGCCAGCGGAGCCGGAACCGCAAGCCAACCACCCGCAGCACCCGGGCGCAUGGCAUGCCAUUGCAUUGACCCCCUAGGGGAGCCGGGGAAACUGGCCAAAAAGUCACCGCGACGUCGCCCGAGGAAACGCCGGGCGGAGAUACUUUUUUUUUUUUUGCGGGAACACGAACCCUACCCCGACCCGGCCGCCCGUGGGUGGUGCGUGUCGUGUGCGCGGGUUCCAGCUCACGCGCACCCCUGCCCUGCCCAACUAGAGAGAGUAACCCCUCCCCAAAAAACCCAAACCGAUUCCCAAUUUACUCCCCACCCCCGGCAGCGGCAGCACGCUCCCCCACCCCCUUCCCCCCUUCCUCCUCCUCCGCCCCCAACCCGCCGCCCCCAAUCCGGAGGAGGCAGGGAGGAAGGCCGGCCGCCCCCCGCCGCCCGGACCAACGGGGAGUAG
rnacentral:rRNA from 1 species